rnacentral:antisense_RNA from 1 species
GUUCUUCAAGCCUGUCUCAGAGCUAUCAAGGAUGCAGCAAAAGGGAUGCCUUUGAUCUGCUGUCUCUGGAUGCACAAGGAGCUCAGAGAAACAACCAGGACACAGAACAAAACAAAGCAUGGAGCUCUAAUUUAGGGGUUUCAGCUAAGGGAGUCACUCAGCACCAGCACUGUGCAGGAGGUAGUUCUUACAGCUUCCUUUAUGAGAAAGAUUUGUUCUUCUGUUUAUAGCGCAUGCUCUGAUGUGGACUUCCAGCUCAGAACCCAGGUUCUGGAACUCAUGAGCGCAUUCAGCAUCCCUUGCUAUCACAACCAGCUUGACAGAAAGACCACAGGCCAAGUGCAGCAGAGUUCCAGAAAGUGAAUGCAGCAAAAUACCCUUGCUCUCUCUGAGGGUAUCAGAGCCAGGAAGGUGGCUGACUCUGAUGAUAGAACAAGAACCAAAUAUGCUCCUGCUGCUCCAGUAGAGUGGUCUUCAGGUGAUCGAGAUUCUGAGCUCCCAAACCAAGGCAAGAAUAACGAAACUGGAACAGGAGGGCAUGCUGGGCUCCAGCCUCCCAUGACAGUGAAACAUUGCCUUAGAAUGACUGUUGUUAAUACAACUGAGGAAACAGAACACGUAAUCUUGUGAUUAAGUUAUGCACAAUUUGAUUUAAAUUUAGUUUCUGGCAGUUGCUAGGUUUCACUCUGGUAUACUCUCUCGGUGUGGAAGCUGCUGAUUCAGAAAGAGAUGUGCCAAAGCUCAUGUAUUUCCUGGACACAUCUAAGUACUGAAUAAAAUGCUGGUUAAAUAAAUGAGUCAAUUUUCCAAGAAAGACA